AUGCUCAGUGUUCAGAAAGUCACAAGCGCCCUCCGAGGGAGCUCUUUGCUUUCUUUACCAAGCUUAUCGCUGCGGCUCCUCAUUCCGGCUGAUAGCUCUGCUUCUCGCUCCAGACGUUUUCUCCCAGUACUUCAUUUUUUUUGCAAAAGCUCAGUAAUGUCCUCGUGUCUGUGGACAGUUAGUUCACCCAGUAGCAGAGGGUCCUGUGGUAGCCACCGGCUUCCACUUCCAAACUGCAUCACCACCCUCUUUGCCUUCACUAUCAUCACCAUCAUCAUUACCAUCCCCAUCAUCACCAUCACCACCAUUACCACCAUCACCACCACCACCACCAUCAUCACCACCAUUACCACCAUCACCAUCACAUCACCAUCACCAUCAUCACACCACCACCACCACCACCACACCACCAUCACCACCAUCACCAUCACCAUCACCACCAUCACCACCAUCACCACCAUCACCAUCACCAUCACCACCAUCACCACCAUCACCAUCACCACCAUCACCACCAUCACCACCAUCACCAAUCACCACCACCACCACCAUCACCACCAUCACCACCAUCACCAUCAACCACCAUCACCACCAUCCACCAUCACCACCAUUCACCACCAUCACCAUCCACCAUCACCACCACCAUCACACCACCACCACCACACCACCAUUACCACCAUCACCAUCACCAUCCCCAUCAUCACCACCAUCCCCACCAUCCCCAUCAUCACCAUCACCACCAUCACCACCAUUACCACCAUCACCACCAUCACCACCAUCACCACCAUCACCACCACCACCACCACCACCACCACCACCACCAUCACCAUCACCAUCACUACCAUCACCACCACCACCAUUACCACCAUCACCACCAUCAACCACCAUCACCAUCACCACCAUCACCACCAAUCACCACCAUCACAUCACCAUCACCAUCAUCACCAUCACCACCAUCACCAUCAACACCACCACCACCACACCACCACCAUCACACCACCACCACCAUCACCACCAUCACCACCAUCACCACCACCACCAUCACCAACCACCACCACCACCAUCACCACCACCACCACCACCAUCACCACCAUCACCACCAUCACCACCAUCACCACCAUCACCACCACCACCAUCAUCACCACCACCACCACCACCACCAUCACCACCAUCACCACCAUCACCACCAUCACCAUCACCACCAUCACCACCACCAUCACCAACACCACCAUCACCAUCACCACCAUCACCAUCAUCACCACCACCACCACCAUCACCAUCACCACACCAUCACCACCACCAUCAACCACCAUCACCAUCAACACCACCACCACCACCACCACCACACCAUCACCAUCACCACCAUCACCACCAUCACUACCAUCACCACCAAUCACCACCAUCACACACCAUCACCACCUCACCAUCACCAACAUCACCACCAUCCACCAUCACCACCAGCACCACCAUCACCAUCACCACCAUCAUCACCACCAUCACCAACACCACCAUCACCAUCACCACCAUCACAUUAUCAUCGUCGCCACUGACGCGUAA
ensembl:lncRNA